CAGCAAAUAUGCAUAACUUGAUUGGUACUGAUAUGUAGACUGAGCCAUGUAUGUUGCUGCUGUAGCAUAACUGGCCGCCGACGGAUCCACCGCCGCCGUCUGCCCAUUCCCACGAUCUGGCCGCCGCCGCGCCCUCCCGACCCCAUCGUCUCCAACCUUCCUCGCCGCCCCGCGCCACCCCUACACCCCUUCGCCGCGCGCCGCUCCGCCCCCGCAUCCCUUCGCUGCGCGCCGCCCCCGCCCCCGCAUCCCUUCGCCGCGCGCCGCCGCCGUGCUCCGCCAGAUCCAGCCACCGCUGCCGCCCUGAGACGCAGCCACCGCCGCAGCCCCGAGACGCAGCCACAGCCGCCGCCCCUAGUCCCGGCCAUCUCCGCCGCCCCGAGACCAUGCCACUGCCGCCUCCCCGCACCCAGCCCACCUCCUCCCUUGUCUUGUCCUCACGGCACUCGUCGGCCUCCUGGUAACCACAUCAGGCCAAGAUCGGAGGGACCUCGUAACUGGGCGCGCUCCCUCGAACUGCCGUGCGUCCUCCCUCGAACGGUCGGACUCCCUGUCCCCGAGCUGCCCGCCGCCCGGCCCCUAGUAGGCCUCCACCUCCGGCUGCCGGCUCACGGGCUCCUGUACUCCUACAACACGUGCACGGGUACGACCGGCGACAACGAGUAGGCGACAAGUGUAUCACAGUGAGCAACGAGACAAAGUAUAAACAUUUGCCAUGGAGCAGUACACAUAUUUAAACUCCUCAUCCCAGUGAGUGGUCCAACACCACUGUAUCCAGCGGUCCAACCCGCCAGCCGAGGCCGUUCACCAUCGCCUCAGUGUGAGUUCGCUGUUGAGAACAAGCAUGACCACCUACUGUUCCUGGUAGUCGCCUUGGCCGCCCUCGGCCACGAGCUCAUCCACCAUGGUUACUGGCAGCCGUUCAAGUGGAGCGCGGGGAACAGUCCAAGUUGAAAUCAUGGCCACCAUCUUCACCAUGCGCUGCAGCCGUCCAAGUCGAGCACACGCAACAGUCCAAGGAAGCAGGACAAGCACCACAAAAGGGCUCUCCCUCCCUUGGCUCCUUGCAUUCCCUUCUCCUUGCAGACCAGGCCGGGCGCUGGGCCAACCACUUCGUCUGUCUACCUCCUUCCCCGGUGAGCCCAUGCUCUUCUGCUCUUGACACUUUGAGCCGCCUGCAAUUCUUUUCUCUAUUCGAAAAUUCCCAAAGCAUCAGUACUUUGUAUCAGGAUACACCAUGUUAUUUCUGCAAAUUUCCAUUAUGCUUGUAGUGCAGAGAAGUUACCUUGUUGCGGGCUGACCUGGAGGCGGCUCCUCCACGUCGACACAAUUGCACGACAAACGUGCUACUGACCACGCAAGCUUCCUCAAGGAGCUCGUGCCCAACGAUACUGAAAGGAAAAACUGCUCCAGUUUUGAACUUCUUAUCCAGUCAUGCUAUUACUGAGUGAAAAAUGGAAAGAAAGUGUAUUGCAAUUGAUCUCUCUUAGACCCUGUCAAUCCUCUAUUUAUCCUUUGUUUGCUUGUUUUUUGGCCUGUAAUUCAAGAACUUUGACCUUCAUAAUUCGGUUUUUGGUUAAUUUGUUAUGCCCAGUACAAACCAUUAAAUCUGAAGAGGCUUCUAAUAGCAAGAAAAUGUGCAGUCGGUGUGGUGUAUAUGUCAUUCAUGUAUGAAAAUUUGCAGUCGGUGUUGUGUAUAUGUUAUUCAUGUACAUGUAUUAUAUGUGA